AGGAUUGCACAGUGGCAGUAUCAUUGGCAAUGAGGUUAAUCCAAGGUGUGAUUAUUGCUAAUUGAAAACUUUUCCUGAGAUU
rnacentral:snRNA from 1 species